rnacentral:tRNA from 1 species
GCAGUGGUAAGUUCAGUGGUAGAGUUCUUAUCUUCUGUGUGGGAGAGUCAGAUUCAAUUCCUGGCCAGUGCA